GACGAACGCUGGCGGCGUGCCUAAUACAUGCAAGUCGAGCGCAGGAAACCGUCUGAACCCUUCGGGGGGACGACGGCGGAAUGAGCGGCGGACGGGUGAGUAACACGUAAAGAACCUGCCCACGGGUCUGGGAUAACCACGAGAAAUCGGGGCUAAUACCGGACGGGUCAUCGGACCGCAUGGUCCGAGGAUGAAAGGCGCUCCAGCGUCGCCCGUGGGUUGCUUUGCGGUGCAUUAGCUAGUUGGUGGGGUAACGGCCCACCAAGGCGACGAUGCAUAGCCGACCUGAGAGGGUGAUCGGCCACACUGGGACUGAGACACGGCCCAGACUCCUACGGGAGGCAGCAGUAGGGAAUCUUCCACAAUGGACGAAAGUCUGAUGGAGCAACGCCGCGUGAACGAUGAAGGCCCUCGGGUCGUAAAGUUCUGUUGUAAGGGAAGAACAAGUGCCGCAGGCAAUGGCGGCACCUUGACGGUACCUUGCGAGAAAGCCACGGUUAACUACGUGCCAGCAGCCGCGGUAAAAC
rnacentral:rRNA from 1 species